GCUGUGAUGGACGAGUGGUUACGGCGUUGGACUCGAAAUCCAAUAGCGUCUCCCCACACAGGUUCGAACCCUGUUCGCAGCG
rnacentral:tRNA from 1 species